GACGAACGCUGGCGGCGUGCUUAACACAUGCAAGUCGAACGGAAAGGCCCUGCUUUUGUGGGGUGCUCGUGUGGCGAACGGGUGAGUAACACGUGAGUAACCUGCCCCUGACUUUGGGAUAACUUCAGGAAACUGGGGCUAUUAUCGGAUAGGAGCUCCUGCUGCAUGGUGUGGGUUGGAAAGUUUCGGUGGUUGGGGAUAGACUCGCGGCUUAUCAGCUUGUUGGUGGGGUAGUUGCUUACCAAGGCUUUGACGGGUAGCCUGCCUGGGAGGGUGACCGGGCACAAUGAGACUGCGGAACGGCGCAGAAUCCUACUGGAGGCAGCAGGGGGGAGUAUUGCGCAAAAGGCGGGCGCCGGGUGCAGUAGCCUCGCGUUCGUGAUAACCGGCUUUGGGUUGUGAACCACUUUCUCCGUUGACGAAGCGUUAGUGACGGUAAUGAGUAAGAAAGCAACGGCUAACUACGUG
rnacentral:rRNA from 1 species